rnacentral:lncRNA from 1 species
AACAUGCAACAUGGAGACGUCACAGGAGCAAAAGAGGGCAAGGGUUUCCAAAACCAAAGUAAAAGUGAUCUAAAACUGGAGGGAUUUGUGUGCGCACAGGGUGGUUUAAUCUUUCAUUGCAUGCAAGACAGACUACGACUGUUCUGUCUCCUGCCAGGGCUACAAAAAGGGUCAGUGAUGAGUUGGGAUUUUUUCUGCUUAUCUUUCUUUCUUUUUUUUUUUUUUUGAAUGAUUUAUGGAGGAGAUAAGAGAUAAGAGAGUGUGUGUGCACUGUGUGUCUUUGAGGCAUCAUCGCAAUCAACUAGAGCCGUCCCGUCACACAUCCAGGGAGUGCUGUGAGAGCUACACCCUCGUCUUAUUACAGACAGCAGGUGCAGAUGGUUAAAGGCAGGUGCACGGUGAAAAAAACAGAGGAAGGAAGAAGAGAGAGGAAAAAAAGAACAAGCACCUGGUCCCUCUGUUGUAACAGUCUGGGGCCGCUCUCACUAUGAUUAGCUUUGUUUCUCCAACAGAGCGCAGCAAGGAGCAAGACCUACAACUUCAUUAGGGUGGAGCGCGGCACCCCCUUCUUUCUGCUUUUGUCCUACACUUGACUGCACUGAGUAAGAGGAGGAUAGGGUGACUGCCGCCUGUAGAAGAGAGCCAUAAUCUGAGGCAUGUUGCUGUAACAGUAGCAUUAUGAGUUAAUAAUGAUACAUUCAGAAAGCAGUAAAGCAUGUGUGUGUGUGGAUAUGAGUGAGGCCCCUGCUUGUUUUGCAUAGGAAACCCCAAAUGAAUUCUCAUUUGUACACGCUGAAACAUUUAUGCACUGUAUUUGCAUUAAUAGGUGGUGGAUAAAGCUCAAAUAACUUCAGAUAUAUUUCAUACAAAGUGCAUUUUGUUUUUUGAACUGUCAACAGAGCCAUAUGGAGUUUUUGUAUCUGUUGUUAUUUUCCCAAAACGGUGGCAACAGGAAGCAGAAGGACACUGCAGCAGCUUCACUACGGUGUGCCAAAAGGGACAAAAAAGCUUCUAAUUUAGAAUAAAAGUUAAUGUUACAGACUUUAAUUGCUUUGGGAAAAAUUGCUGACAGCUUUUCUUUAUAGCUUUUAUGUGCAUUUGAGGCAUCAUUAAAAAAAUAGAUUUUUGUGACAGAUGUUUACAUUUGUCGAUGUAUUCAUAGUGUUUGUAUUUACUUGAGAACAGUUGAGGCUAAGGAAAAAUAUGUUAGCGUCUUUUUUCUUAUUCUACCUCGUUUUGAAAUUGUACAGUCAACCACUUACUUCUCUAGUUAUAACAACUUUAGUAACAACCGCACGAUAGCAAUACACAGCGGUCUGAGGACUCAUAAACAAACCUCAACCAAAAUGCCACUCUAUAGACACAAAUAAUGCUCAGAACAGCACCUAACUUCGUCAACAGUACAUAUAGGGUCACAGCCAUAGCACUAGCCUACAGACAUCUUUUUAACUUUGCCUAAUUUCUUUAGCAGAGACUAAACACAACUCACCUACUCUCUUCCAGCAGCUGCUUGUUUGUGGCGAGACCUCUGGCCAGUCUAUAACGGACUACAGCGGGGUGACGCAGCUCAAGGAAGAACAUUUAUGCUCAUUACUUUAUCACUUCCUUGAAGUAAUAAUCACUAUAUCAUGGUAGUUCUUCUGCCUUAUUGCAGAAUUGGUCUGAUUGCAUUACCAUAAAGAAAUAAUGUGGCUACAGAGUGGCGUUUUGGUUGAGGUUUAUGUAUGGCUCCUCAGACCACUGUGUAUUGCUAUCGUACGGUCGUUACUAAAGUUGGUAUAACUACAAAAGCAAGUGGUCUCCAACAUUCAUCUCUCGGGGGGUGUGUUGAACUCUGUGUUACAGUGUGUUUGACCCUUAAUUAAUUUUACGCCGGAAUAUCCCUUUAAGACGUAGGAGUGGUUAAGAGUGUGUGAGUGUGAGUGCAUCCCCUGCUAAGCCACAGAGGUAGACCUGCAGCUGUGUUGAGUUAAGCCUCUUGUAUGGGAGGCAAAUUCACAUUCAAAUACACCUUACACAGCUAAAUGUUUUUUUUUUUAGAGUAUUUACUGAGUUUAAAGUAAAAGGUGUUGAGUGGUAAAAGGCAAAAAAAAAAGAUAAAAAGAUAUUUAUAUUUUAGGUAAAUCCUGUUUACUAUCAUAACUGUAAGCAGGUGAGUAAUUUUCACUCCCUCCUAAUGUGUAAAAUGUGAUACGCUUGUAUGACUUCAUUUGACCUCAGUCCUUCCUGCACAAUGAAACAUCCCUAUAUCACUCACGCUUUUAUCUCGCUCCAUUUUUUAAGGGCGUAACAAUAAUAUCAUCUCUACCAAGUCAUGACGAGCAAGAACUGCAAAAGAACCGGCCUGAUUUUACAAAGACCUCUGCAGAGGAUGAAAGAAAGAUCCCCAGAGCUGACCUGACACACAGCUCCCUCCUACAGGAGUUUGGCUUGGAUUCAGUGGAGUGCUCUGACCCCCCGCCUAACUUUGCUUUUUGGGCUUGAAUAUUCAGGUGUUCAGCUGGAGAGAUCUGCAGGCAAACUCGUGCAAUCACCAACCUCUGCCUGCAGGGCCCAGAGGUGGGUAGUAACAGUCUACUUUGGUACAUUACUGAACCUCAUGUGGUUUCAAGUAUCUGUACUUUACUGUUGAAAUCUUUUCCUCUUUUCUCUCUUUGUUUUGAAAGACUAGUUUUAUUAGCUAGGAGGGAAUUAUCAAUUAUUUCUAUUUUGCAUUAUUGCACCAUCUUUACCUACAAUACCAAUAUCAACCUUAAUGGAUGGAGCAGUAAUUUAUAUCUCAUAAAGAAGGUGAUGAGCUGUGAGAGACAUGAUGGAGUACAGAAGUAGAGAGCUUGCAACAACAUCAGUACAACUUAUUAGAGCUGAAUUAUUGUUCAUUUUAUCUCUUCGUUACCCAGCCUGACUCUGAUUGGUCAAAACUUCAAAGCAACAGUGAUUAAAUCCAAGUAGAAGUCAACUUGAUCACAUGACAAAUCAAACCAAUACAUCUCCAAGCUGAAGUCAUUAUAAACUUUAAGCAGCAGUGAUGGUGGAAACAAUGUUAGGAAUCAAGCAUUUGUCCUCUUCAUGUCUCAAGGUGUGAACUGCAAAGCCCUUGAAAGAGUGCUAGCUGAAAGUUGACAUGAAUAUUGCUGCAUAAGUCCUAUUCCCUUUAUCUAACCUAAGCUGAAAUUGACACAAUAAAUAAUAAUAAAUAAAUAACAAUAAAAAAGGCUAAUGUUUUAACUUGAACAGGAGUUCAAUAAUAUGUCAUCUUGUGAAGAGGCUGAAAACUAAUAAGUGGGAUAAUGUAUAGUGAGUGGGUGGUGUUUAAAGUGGGUCAUGCUCACCCUGUUGUUGUUUUUUUUUUUUUUCUGCACCUUUACAUAAAUACUUUGUAUCAAAUUAUAAAAGUAUUUAAACAGUAGCCAAUUAACAGGUAGGAUAAUGUAUAGUGAAUGGGUGCUCUUGCUUACCCUGUCACACUUUUUGGCCGGCAUGAAAUCAGUAUUUUGUGUCAUCUUGUUAAUCAUAUCUUUAGACUGUAACCAGUAAAUAAGUAGGAUAAUGUAUAGUGAGAGGUUGAUUUUUUACAUGGGUCUUGCUCACCCCAUCACGUUCCUUCUCCUCUUUCUCUCUAUAUGUUUUCCCUUUUUAUAAACCUGUUUGAAGUGAUAAAUUGUCAAAACUUAUGGCCUUAAAAUUAUGGUGGGAACCUGAACUUUUCCAUUCCUACUGCGGUAAACAAGUUAAACCAGUUCUUAUACUUUCAUCAGACUAUUUCUAAACAACUAUCUCUUUAUUAAGUAAAGACUGUGUGUACUUUUUUGAUACCUCUAGCAGCGCCCGGUUUUCAAGACACAAGCGUAUGUUCGUGGAUGAGCAGAGGAAAUGAAAGUUAAUGGUGUGUUUGCAUUGUCAGAGCUCGUAUGCCCACAGAUUUGCUUUAUUCAUGGCCUCACUUCAUCUGCCAGCCAGCCAUUGAAUAAUUGAAGGAAUUAUCAGGCGAGGGGAUCCAAAGCCCCUCAGAAAUGUGUCAUGCCCCUGAGCAAAGCCUGCAGAAAAGAAAAAAAAAAGCAAGAGUAAGAGGGGGCCUCCUAAUUCGGAGCUGUGCAGCCGCUCAAUACAACCCAGUAACGUUCCACCUACAUAGAAAGUUAAAACACAGAAGCUGAUGAUGCCACAAAUGGCAAGCUUUGACUGGCAGAAUAUCAAUGGCUCAUAACAGCAGGAGCCCAUGCAUGUCAGAUAAAUUUAUGAUUCUCUCCAAAAUGCUGCUCUCCUGUUUUCUUCUGCAUGAGAAUGGGUGUUUUUUAGAGUCGCUAGAUUUCACCAUGCAGUUUGGCUGGUGUCCCUCAUACAAAGAAUGUGACUGACGCAACAUUAAUCUCCAAACAAAGAGACUGGCACAACUACUCCGCACAAUUUCAGGGCUAGGAGGUGGCAACGUCAGUCUGGAUUUCUCAGUGCUCCUUCACGAGCUGUUCCACUUUCUCCCGAUUCUCAUUUAGAUCAAACAAAACGCUCCAGAAAAGGAGGUGAAACGGUGCCGUUUAAAUCCGUGACACACAGGCACACAGGGGACCUCCUUCUCAUUUUCCAAACAGGGAGUCAUGGCGAGAACUUUUUAAAUUUGUCAUAAUAAGGUGUGACCUACAUGGGAGGGAGCCAAAGCCCAAACUCCAGCUCGCAGCAAGAUUCCUGCCUAUUGAGUGAUCCAAAAUGUAAUGCAUGAACAUGGAGCGGGAGAGAGCUUCCUCUCUGAAGACAUAAUUCUCUCAUGGCUGACACGCAGCACUUCCUACAGCAUAGGUUAGAAUACAUGCCAUAUCCUUCAAUGUGAAAAGCAUGCAACGCUUAUUUUACCAAUGUGCUGUUCAGUGCAUUCAAAAAAAAAAAAUGUUGACACCCGCCAGAGGUUGUAACGUAAUAUAAUCUCACUGACACUGACAUAUGAAAAACAGUCCUCAGCUGACACUCAUGAAAAAUGGCAGCGGUUUGGAGAAGAACAACUCAGAGGUCUAUUUUCACACCGGUCUCAGCUGGGAGGCUGCAAAACAACUACCCUGCUGUUCUUGUUGUCUGGAAAUGCAUCUUUCAUGAACGCAGAAUACUGUCACUUAUGUGUUAAAGGAAAAAAAAAAAACACUUGAAGAAAGGAAGAAGCAGUUUGUAAGAUUAGGUCCAGAUCACUUACUGGCAAAUACAAUAAUAAAAGAGGAGAAUAAAAGGAUGUUUUCUGCAGGGUUUUAAAGCACAGCAUUAUCUUUUUCUUGCAGAGCAAACAUGUCAGAGUUCUUGUGUAGCUCGCUCCCCUCGAACAGAAUCAGGGGGUGAGAGUUGCCAUCAUUCACGGUGUCCAGUGUUAGUGCAGCCUGUUCUCUGUGUGGGCUGGGGGCCUUGUUAAGGGCGGCAAGCAUGUGAAGAGCUGAAGGCCUCACAAGACCGAGUGAGGACAACACACCAGCCCGUUCCACACGACUGUGAGGCAUUACUUGGAGUUUUGACCAUCAUUACUAUGACAUGGUUUUCAUCCUGACAAUCACAAAAAACACCUAAUUUCAUUAAUUCCACUCGCCGUAUGUUUCUAUUCACUGUUUUCGAAUUAUUUACAACCACAGCGAGGAGUUUUUGGCCAGUCAUGAAUCAGACUUUAUAUUUAUGCCUCUGUGUGAGCUACAAAAGCAAACAGGACCACCAGCAGCAGGAUUAUUUUUUUCUCAAUUGUAAUAUUUAAUGCCUGAACUGCUGCUGCUGCAGGGUUGGUGUCUGACAAAUGAGUUACAGCCCACUGCAGCCUGUUCUUUAAAUCGUUCUACCACAAAUACUCAAACUGAGUGAUGUGUUUAACUGUUAGCAGGAAUGAGGGAAAGUCGAUGUACUUCUUUUUGCCCAAAACAUCACCUAUAAAUGGACAAGACAAAAUUAAUUAGGUGAAGACAUGCUACUUUGUUUACAGUGGGCACCAAAAUCCUCAUGAUUCACAUGUUUUUUGUUUUUUUUUACAGGAGCUGCUGGAAAAUUUCGCAAUCCAGGUCCAGUGACAGAUUUAAUCCAAACACAUUAUAUCCACACAGAUCCACAGAUUACUUCAUCUACCAAGACUGUGCAGUCUGUGAUCCAUCUAACCAUGUAUGAGCAGGGUUUGAAGAAAACAACUGUUGUUUUUAGCCUCUGUGAGGCACUUUGAACUACAUUUUUUUUGUCUUAAAAAUGCCAUACAAAUACAAAUAAAGUUGAAGUAAACAACUGAAUUUGAAUUUGUUGAAUUCCCCUUCGGGAAUAAAUA